GGAGNAAGGAGAAAGAUCCCUUAUAAAGUUGUGUUAUAUUUAGUAAAAGGUGUUUGAUACAACAAACUAAUUUAAUUGGAUAAUAACAUUUAAUAAUAAAGAAAGUAAAACUUUUGCUCUUGGAAGUAAAUAUCUCGGGUAGUAUUAGUUAAGGGUAAAACUUAACUAGCUUAAUACGCGUAGUCGUGACUGGAAGGUUGAUCGACCACAGUGGGACUGAAUAAAUCCCAUGACGAUUGUCUCAGCAGUGAGGAAUAUUGGUCAAUAGCCUAACGGCUGAACCAGCAACUUGGAGGAAUGUAUAGCGAAAGCUACUUGCAUUUAGCUUAGUUAAAACUAAGUUUAUGCAGGAUUGAUAAUAUCAAAUAAAGUUCUAGGUGGGUUAUGAUGAUGACAUUCCCUAUCUAUGUGUCUUGACCAAAUUACGUGCCAGCAGUCGCGGUAACACGUAAAAGACUAGUGUUAUUCAUCUUUAAUAGGUUUAAAGGGUACCUAGACGGUAAAUCAAGUCCAAAAAGGGUACUAAUUUGCUAGAGUUUAAUGUGAGGGGGCACUAAAGUACUGAUAAGUGUAGAGAUGAAAUUCUGUGAUACAAUAUAAGGCACUGGCAAAGGCGAAAGCAUCUCAUUAUGUAAUAACUGACGUUGAGGGACGAAGGCUAGGUGUAGCCAAAAGGAUUAGAUACCCAAGUAGUCUUAGCAGAAAAUUAUGAAUGUCAUAGGAUGGAAAGUUGAAUGGAUAAACAACAAAUUUUUUUUNCUAUAAAUGAAAGUGUAAGCAUUCCACCUCNAGAGUAAUUUGGCAACAUUGGAACUGAAAUCAUUAGACCGUUUCUGAAACAAG
rnacentral:rRNA from 1 species